CACAGGAUUGUCUGAUAACUGGGUUGCUAAAGCAGGUUAAAUCUCCAUGUUUUUAUGGGGGAGUGUAGCUGAAGUUUUUCUGAUCCUGCCUGGCCCACAGGACAAGCAGAGAGGAGAAUUCUGGGAAGUGGAAGGCUGAGUCAGGAGACCCUGCCAGCCGCUGCUGCCGCCAUGAGAAGCAGAUGUUAAGAUACCAGAAAUUCCGUCCAGCUCUGUGCUGGAUGCUAGGGAGAUGCAGACAGGCAUGUGACCCCUGCUCACCAGAAAUAGAACCAGAACUGCCCAGCAGGGGAGGAAGACCAACCCAGAAGGAGCUACCCAGAGGCACCACAGUGAGGACUCGGUCCAGCCCGUUCACAAAGACUUCUGCCUCUGAAGGUUCCUGGUCCAGAGGGCCUUGAUCCAUUGGGCUGGGACAGGAAAGUGAAUCAUGAUAUUGUCACAGCACCUUGAGGAACUGGCAGAGGGUGACUUCUGAGCCCCCGGGGUCAUGUUGACAAAGGCCUGAAGUUCCACAUAUGCCCCCUGGACAGCCACUAUGGACUUCACAGAAAAGGGAAGCUCACCCCCUUCAUACGAGGUUUUGAAACGCAUCAGCUCAAACCGGCAAGCAUCCAGAGCAUUGAUCUCGUUUCUGGAGUUCAAGGUCAUUCAAGGUUAAAAAACAUUCCGCCGUCCCAUUCACAAAGCAGAGGCAGCAGAUUUGAGUUAUCACGGCACUUUCAACCAAUUUCCCAUCUUCUUUGGUUACUUUACCCCAAAAGUUGUCCACGAUGUCCAGGUAAAUUUCUUGUUCCUCGUAAUUCUUCCUUGGUUUUGCAACAGCGGGCAGCUUUAUCAGCUCCUCCUCCACAGUGGUCAGGAACUCCAAGAAGUCACCGUGCUCCGUGGACCCCAACUUUAGCAUCUGUUCUAUGUCAGGCUCGUGAACCACCUCCGUCUUGGAAUGGUACUUCCUUUUCUCUGAGUAAGACACAUGCUCCACCUUCACAGUGUGGAUUUUCCCCGCCAUGCUGAAGUUCUCCAGUUUGGGUUCAGAAAGUCUGCAAUGUGGAUCGAGCUGGAACUCUUUGAACGGUUUUUCCAGCCCCUUCUCAUAAUACAUCUGCAGAAUCCCUCCUGGCAGAACCUUCAGGAAAAUGGGUCCCCACUGCCUGGAAGACAUCAUGUUCUUCUUCUCGGGAAUCCUCAGCAUGAAGGACCACCCAGCUUUGGGCUGACUCCGGAAGAGCGUGUGGGGGACAAAAGAAGAGGCUGUGUCUCCAGCAUACGGACUCUGCAUAGACGCGUUUCCAAGAGGGUCUUGGGUCUCAGCUGACUGCAGGUGUUCAAGCCUCUCACAGAUGUAGCUAAGUGAGCACUGGUUUAGGCUUUUUUGAUCAAUGGGUACUUCCUUGUCCCUCGAUGAGAACGGCUUUCUGCUUGCCGGGGAGUCAAAGGAGAGCUGAGAACUACUACCUUCAUCCUUCCAAAAUGGGUUGGAGAAAGAACAGUCCUCUCGAAAAUACUCGAACUGCAGAGCCUCGCUGAGGGCCCGCUGAGGGCUGG